GUUUUGUUUGUUUUUACAUGUUAGACACAAAACACAGCAAGUCUAGGUCUUGGUUUUGUUUGUUUUUACAUGUUAGACACAAAACACAGCAAGUCUAGGUCUGUGUGUGUGUUUUGUUUUUACAUGUUAGACACAAAACACAGCAAGUCUAGGUCUUGGUUUUGUUUGUUUUUACAUGUUAGACACAAAACACAGCAAGUCUAGGUCUGUGUGUGUGUGUGUGUGUGUUUUGUUUGUUUUUACAUGUUAGACACAAAACACAGCAAGUCUAGGUCUUGGUUUUGUUUGUUUUUACAUGUUAGACACAAAACACAGCAAGUCUAGGUCUGUGUGUGUGUUUUGUUUUUACAUGUUAGACACAAAACACAGGAAGUCUAGGUCUGUGUGUGUGUUUUGUUUUUACAUGUUAGACACAAAACACAGGAAGUCUAGGUCUUGGUUUUGUUUGUUUUUACAUGUUAGACACAAAACACAGCAAGUCUAGGUCUGUGUGUGUGUGUGUGUGUUUUGUUUGUUUUUACAUGUUAGACACAAAACACAGUAAGUCUAGGUCUUGGUUUUGUUUGUUUUUACAUGUUAGACACAAAACACAGCAAGUCUAGGUCUUGGUUUUGUUUGUUUUUACAUGUUGGACACAAAACACAGCAAGUCUAGGUCUUGGUUUUGUUUGUUUUUACAUGUUAGACACAAAACACAGCAAGUCUAGGUCUUGGUUUUGUUUGUUUUUACAUGUUAGACACAAAACACAGCAAGUCUAGGUCUGUGUGUGUGUGUGUGUGUGUGUUUUGUUUGUUUUUACAUGUUAGACACAAAACACAGCAAGUCUAGGUCUGUGUGUGUGUGUGUGUGUGUCUGUGUGUGUGUGUGUGUUUUGUUUGUUUUUACAUGUUAGACACAAAACACAGCAAGUCUAGGUCUGUGUGUGUGUGUGUGUGUG
rnacentral:lncRNA from 1 species